rnacentral:tRNA from 1 species
GCCGCCGUAGCUCAGCGGUAGAGCGCCGGGCUGUGGACCCGGAGGUCCCGGGUUCGAAUCCCGGCGGCGGCCCCA